rnacentral:rRNA from 1 species
AAACUCAAAUGAAGUUGACCGGGGGCCCGGCACAAGCGGUGGAGCAUGUGGUUUAAUUCGACGCAACGCGCAGAACCUUACCAGCCCUUGACAUCCCGGUCGCGGUUUCCAGAGAUGGAUUCCUUCAGUUCGGCUGGACCGGUGACAGGUGCUGCAUGGCUGUCGUCAGCUCGUGUCGUGAGAUGUUGGGUUAAGUCCCGCAACGAGCGCAACCCCCGUCCUUAGUUGCUACCAUUUAGUUGAGCACUCUAAGGAGACUGCCGGUGAUAAGCCGCGAGGAAGGUGGGGAUGACGUCAAGUCCUCAUGGCCCUUACGGGCUGGGCUACACACGUGCUACAAUGGCGGUGACAAUGGGACGCUAAGAGGCAACUCUUCGCAAAUCUCAAAAAGCCGUCUCAGUUCGGAUUGGGCUCUGCAACUCGAGCCCAUGAAGUUGGAAUCGCUAGUAAUCGUGGAUCAGCAUGCCACGGUGAAUACGUUCCCGGGCCUU